rnacentral:rRNA from 1 species
UUUCCGGUUGAUCCCGCCGGACCCCACUGCUAUCGAGGUGAGACUUAGCCAGGCCAGUCGAACGACUCGGACUGUGGCGAGAAGUGGCAAACUGCUCAGUAACACGUAGCUAACCUACCCUCAGGACGGAGACAACCCCGGGAAACUGGGGUUAAUCCCUGAUAGGCGUGGAUUCCUGGAAUGGUGUCACGCCGAAACGUUAACACACCAUGUUUGUGUACACGCCUGAGGAUGGGGCUGCGGCCGAUCAGGCAGUUGGUGAGGUAACGGCUCACCAAACCUUUGACCGGUACGGGCCGUGAGAGCGGUAGCCCGGAGAUGGACACUGAGACAAGGGUCCAGGACCUACGGGUCGCAGCCGGUACGAAACCUCCACAAUGCACGCAAGUGCGAUGGGGUUACCUCGAGUGCCGCCUGAAGAAGGCGGCUUUUCCAUUGUGUAAUGAGCCGUGGGAAUAAGGGGGGGGCAAGACUGGUGUCAGCCGCCGCGGUAACACCAGCCCCCCGAGUGGUGGGGAUGUUUAUUUGGCCUAAAACGUCCGUAGCCAGCUAGGUAAAUCUCUCGUUAAAUCCAGCGUCCUAAGCGUUGGGCUGCGAGAGAGACUGCCAAGCUAGAGGGUGGGAGAGGUCAGCGGUAUUUCUGGGGUAGGGGCGAAAUCCAUUGAUCCCAGGAGGACCACCAGUGGCGAAGGCUGCUGACUAGAACACGCCUGACGGUGAGGGACGAAAGCUGGGGUAGCGAAUCGGAUUAGAUACCCGAGUAGUCCCAGCCGUAAACGAUGCAGGCUAGGUGUUGGGUUGGCCACGUGCCGACUCAGUGCCACAGGGAAGCCAUUAAGCCUGCUGCCUGGGGAGUACGGUCGCAAGGCUGAAACUUAAAGGAAUUGGCGGGAGAGCACCACCAGGCGUGAAGCCUGCGGUUUAAUUGGAGUCAACGCCGGA